GUUAAAAAGCUCGUAGUUGGAUUUCUGGGAGGGUGCCAAUGUCCGCCGACGUGCGUGCGCAGCGGCGCCCUUCCAUCCUUCUGUUAACGCCUCUUGGCAUUCAUUUGCUGGUGGCGGGCUCAGGUAUUUUACCUUGAGAAAAUUAGAGUGUUUCAGGCAGGCUAGGCCGGAAUACAUUAGCAUGGAAUAAUGGAAUAGGACUACGGUCUCUUUGUUGGUUUGAGGGACUGCAGUAAUGAUUAAUAGGGAUAGUUGGGGGCAUUAGUAUUUAAUUGUCAGAGGUGGAAUUCUCGGAUUUGUUAAAGACUAACUUAUGCGAAAGCAUUUGCCAAGGAUGUUUUCAUUAAUCAAGAACGAAAGUUAGGGGAUCAAAGACGAUCAGAUACCGUCCUAGUCUUAACCAUAAACUAUGCCGACUCGGGAUCGGGGGCGCGAACUAUCCGCCUUCGGCACCGUAUGAGAAAUCAAAGUCUUUGGGUUCUGGGGGGAGAUAUGGUCGCAAGGCUGAAACUUAAAGGAAUUGACGGAAGGGCACCACC
rnacentral:rRNA from 1 species